rnacentral:lncRNA from 1 species
GCCAUUCAUUUAUCUCAACCACGGGAUCCCAAUUUGCAGCCCUAAUCCUAGAGCCACCGUCUCUCCAGAGUUUGAUUCUCCGUCGUCGCUCCUCGUCGUUCUCCAUGCAUACAAUACAAUAGGUCCGUUUGAAUCCUUCCUUUGGAGAAAUUGUUUUUGGGUUCCUGAAACUUGGUCUGGAUUGUUGUUUGUUUCAUUGUUUGUUCGUGCCUUGCUUGGUUUCUCUUUAUCCCUGUUUUCUUCUCUCGCCUGUAAUGUAGGUAGUAGUAAUUUCCCAACCACAUUAAUGUUUGUUUGUGCUUCGCUUGGUUAAUCGUUGUCCUUUAUUCUUCUCGCCCGUAAGUAGUAGUAAAUUUUCCAACACAUUGAUUGGCAGAGGAAAUAACAGAGUAUACUCUUGCUACAGCAAUGAUGGCGAGUUUUGGAGGAGAAACACAAGCUGAGUCACUACCAGCUUGCUUGAGGAACAAGAACCUGUAUUUGGGGUUUGUGUUAAAUGCUACGAUUGUUGGGGUU